GCCAUUAAUUUUGAGUACUGCAAGCUGGAAGUUAUUAUCACGUCCAAAUGCACCCAAUCUCCAAAGAAAGACUCAUUCCCUUCCUUACUGCGAGACCAACCGUGCGCUCAGUUCUCCCCAUCUGAUCUAGUACCUGCUUCACAAGGAAGAGACUCAGAUCACCUUCUGUCCGGAGAGACCUGGGAACAGUCAAUACGUCACCUAGUGCCACCACAGCAGAGGCAGCUUGGCAGUACGGCAGCAUCCAAACCCAUGGGGAACGGGGCUGAAUGCAAAGCCCUUCAUAAUGUCAACCCUGCAGCAUGAUGCCUGGCAGACAGAGGCUGAUCGCUGAGCUUGUCCCGGAGGGAUGGAUGCCCAGCAGUCAGUACAGAGCUGCCAGAGAAGCACGAUCCCCAGCACCUCGCCCAGACCUGCACGAGGACAGAGCGGCAAUGCAUGGUUAGCAACAGAGGGCUGUGGGCCAGGAUGAGAAAGAGCCAGCUUGGAAAUGCUUGUGGGGGAAACCUCAACAAAAGGGGAACAUAACCUCACUGCUCUGCAAAAUCCUGGGAAACAUUAAUACUGCGGUAUUAAUUGUAAGUCACAGGAAAUUAUUAUAGGAUCGGUUAAGUACAGGGGA
rnacentral:lncRNA from 1 species